CCUACGGGAGGCAGCAGUGGGGAAUAUUGCACAAUGGGCGCAAGCCUGAUGCAGCGACGCCGCGUGAGGGAUGACGGCCUUCGGGUUGUAAACCUCUUUCAGUAGGGAAGAAGCGAAAGUGACGGUACCUGCAGAAGAAGCGCCGGCUAACUACGUGCCAGCAGCCGCGGUAAUACGUAGGGCGCAAGCGUUAUCCGGAAUUAUUGGGCGUAAAGAGCUCGUAGGCGGUUUGUCGCGUCUGCCGUGAAAGUCCGGGGCUCAACUCCGGAUCUGCGGUGGGUACGGGCAGACUAGAGUGAUGUAGGGGAGACUGGAAUUCCUGGUGUAGCGGUGAAAUGCGCAGAUAUCAGGAGGAACACCGAUGGCGAAGGCAGGUCUCUGGGCAUUAACUGACGCUGAGGAGCGAAAGCAUGGGGAGCGAACAGGAUUAGAUACCCUGGUAGUCCAUGCCGUAAACGUUGGGCACUAGGUGUGGGGGACAUUCCACGUUUUCCGCGCCGUAGCUAACGCAUUAAGUGCCCCGCCUGGGGAGGUACGGCCGCGAGACGAAACUACGAAGAAGUAGACGCGUGAGACGUGCCGACGACGACGACGAGGGAGAGG
rnacentral:rRNA from 1 species